rnacentral:misc_RNA from 1 species
GGAUGGAGAAAUUCCUACUUGUAUUAUGCAACUCCGUCACUGGAUUUGGAUGUAUACUGUAGUAAAACAUACAAAAUUUUACAAGCCACUAUCCAUACAAAAUACCUCUACUCCAUGUAUUUCAACUAUUUGGACUUGUGUCAAAGUGAAAAUAAAGAGAACGAUCGAGGCAGAAAUUGCAGAGGGAAUUUAUUUGAUUUUAUCUGCAUAAAGCUUGUCAUCUUGACAUCUGCUAUGCAAGAAAAUCAUACAAAACAUUUCCUACAAUUGUGAUCAUCCACAUGGUAAUGUAAUAAAUCCCAGAUACAUGCAGCUAAGCACAACCCAUGCGUACAAGGAUUGACCACAAUCUUCUGUGAUGACAUUAAUUUACUAUUCAGGAAGAUGGUGAGCAAGUGAGCAUGUCUUUCACAUACAAUCUUCAAUAACAAUUGGAGAAAUUCAAAACGAUAUAUACAAGUAUUUGAACCCUGAAGGUUUUUAGGGAAAAGCGUAUUGUUUGGUCUAAAUUUUCCUG